GGACUGAGAGGUUGAACGGCCACAUUGGGACUGAGACACGGCCCAGACUCCUACGGGAGGCAGCAGUGGGGGAUAUUGCGCAAUGGGGGCAACCCUGACGCAGCAACGCCGCGUGAAGGAUGAAGGUUUUCGGAUUGUAAACUUCUUUUAUUAAGGACGAAAAAUGACGGUACUUAAUGAAUAAGCUCCGGCUAACUACGUGCCAGCAGCCGCGGUAAUACGUAGGGAGCAAGCGUUGUCCGGAUUUACUGGGUGUAAAGGGUGCGUAGGCGGCUUUGCAAGUCAGAUGUGAAAUCUAUGGGCUCAACCCAUAAACUGCAUUUGAAACUGUAGAGCUUGAGUGAAGUAGAGGCAGGCGGAAUUCCCCGUGUAGCGGUGAAAUGCGUAGAGAUGGGGAGGAACACCAGUGGCGAAGGCGGCCUGCUGGGCUUUAACUGACGCUGAGGCACGAAAGCGUGGGUAGCAAACAGGAUUAGAUACCCUGGUAGUCCACGCUGUAAACGAUGAUUACUAGGUGUGGGGGGUCUGACCCCUUCCGUGCCGGAGUUAACACAAUAAGUAAUCCACCUGGGGAGUACGGCCGCAAGGUUGAAACUCAAAGGAAUUGACGGGGGGCCGCACAAGCAGUGGAGUAUGUGGUUUAAUUCGAAGCAACGCGAAGAACCUUACCAGGUCUUGACAUCCAACUAACGAAGUAGAGAUACAUUAGGUGCCCUUCGGGGAAAGUUGAGACAGGUGGUGCAUGGUUGUCGUCAGCUCGUGUCGUGAGAUGUUGGGUUAAGUCCCGCAACGAGCGCAACCCUUGCUAUUAGUUGCUACGCAAGAGCACUCUAAUAGGACUGCCGUUGACAAAACGGAGGAAGGUGGGGACGACGUCAAAUCAUCAUGCCCCUUAUGACCUGGGCUACACACGUACUACAAUGGAUGUUAACAGAGGGAAGCAAGACAGUGAUGUGGAGCAAACCCCUAAAAACAUUCUCAGUUCAGAUUGCAGGCUGCAACCCGCCUGCAUGAAGAUGGAAUUGCUAGUAAUCGCGGAUCAGAAUGCCGCGGUGAAUACGUUCCCGGGCCUUGUACACACCGCCCGUCACACCAUGGGAGCCGGUAAUACCCGAAGUCAGUAGUCCAACCUCGUGAGGACGCUGCCGAAGGUAGGAUUGGCGACUGGGGUGAAGGCGUAACAAGGUAACCGUACUAGUACGAUGACAUAU
rnacentral:rRNA from 1 species